UGUAUAUAUUCGACCAGAAGGUCCAGGC
rnacentral:piRNA from 1 species